rnacentral:misc_RNA from 1 species
AACGCACAUUGCGCCUUAUGGUAUUCCAUAAGGCAUGCCUGUUUGAGCGUCAUUUCUCUCUCAAACCUUUGGGUUUGGUAUUGAGUGAUACUCUUAGUCGGACUAGGCGUUUGCUUGAAAAGUAUUGGCAAGAGUGUACUGGAUAGUACUAACUGGUUAUUCAAUGUAUUAGGUUUAUCCAACUCGUUGAAGUGCUGGUGGUAAAUUUCUAGUAACGGCUCGGCCUUACAACAACAAACAAGUUUGACCUCAAAUCAGGUAAGAAUACCCGCUGAACUUAA